rnacentral:rRNA from 1 species
GCCUAAAAUCAAGCCUAUAAACUCCACAUGAACAACCAUAUUUAUGAGUACACAAUAAAACAUUUUUACACUCUAGUAGAGGCGAUCAAAAGACUUAUAAGCGCUUCAUACACAGUACCGCAAGGGAACGAUGAAAUAGAUCUGAAACAGCCCAAAAGCAUAAAAUAGUAGAGAUACCCCC